rnacentral:rRNA from 1 species
GUUGUUUAGUUGAAAAUCAAUUAAAUAAUUUUUGAUUUUGAGUAGUAUUGACUUCAUCAGCUUGCUGCUCUCUUUUCGGAAAUUAUUUAAUGCACUUUUCAGUUAACAAGUCAACAUCAAUUUCUUUUGUUGUAAAAGGGUAAGAGGAAGGUGGCUUACAUUUCGGUGUAAGUGUUUAUAGCCUUUUACCUCUGCAAUCGGAGAGAUUGAGGCCAGCAGCGUAGACUCUUCGGGGUUAGAUACGCUUGUGCUAAGCUAUAGCCUUGUAUAGACAACUUGUUGACUAUGCUCAGUCAUGUAGCUUACUCGCUUGCAGUAUUUUACCUAC